GUGCCAGCAGCCGCGGUAAUACAGAGGUCUCAAGCGUUGUUCGGAAUUAUUGGGCGUAAAGGGUGCGUAGGCGGUUCGGUCAGUUGGGUGUGAAAAGUCGAGGCUCAACCUCGAAAUUGCACCCAAUACUACCGGGCUAGAGUACUGCAUAGGAAGCUGGAACUUACGGUGUAGCAGUGAAAUGCGUAGAUAUCGUAAAGAAGACCAGAGGCGAAAGCGAGCUUCUAGGCAGUUACUGACGCUCAUGCACGAAAGCCAAGGUAGCAAACGGGAUUAGAUACCCCGGUAGUCUUGGCAGUAAACGUUGCGCGUUUGGUGCGGGUGGGGUCAAGCCCUUCCGUGCCGGAGUUAACACGUUAAACGCGCCGCCUGGGGAAUACGAUCGCAAGAUUAAA
rnacentral:rRNA from 1 species